CCACACCUACACAAACAUAAUAACUUCCACAUGAGUCCACCAUGAACAAAAUAUAUAACUUUCCUAUAUAGCACCAUGAACAACUAUCUAAUAACAACUAACAUGAUCACUUCACAGAAAUUUAUUAUCUGUAGAGAAAUUUAAUAAAGGUCACUUGUUCUUCAAUUGGAUUACUCCUGUUUUCUUCCUUCAUCCACAACUUGGCCAACUUGUUCCACUUCCUCAACAUAAUUUUUCUUCUUUGAUAAGUCUUCACUAAUUCCUACAACAACAAAAUAAGAAACAUAUCAAAUAUAGCACACAAACAUUUUACAAAUGCUACUAGAAAAAGAAUUACCUUGUUGUGAUUGAUUCUCUCCAGAUUUUGCAAACCAAGAGCCAACAACAUCCUUAACCUUGUCAACCACACCUUUUCCUGGACUAAUCACAUUGCUCUCUUCAAAGCUUCCAUUCUCUUUUUUCAAUGUCUCUUCUUUCCCUUUAUUACGUAAUAAAGCUUCUGAAAUCACCUCAGAAAGUGCCUUAUCUUCUUCACUAGGCCUUAGUUUCUCAACCAAAUUGUCCUUCACAGUAAACCCUUUUUCAUGAUCUUCUUGAACCUCAUUUUUUGUUUCAGUUCCAUACACUUUGGAUUUCACUGCACUUCCUACCUCUGCAACCUUUCCAUAAACAGGAGCUAGUUUCUCAGUAACAGAAUAAGCAAUAUAAAUAAAUAAAUAAUAAUAAUAAUAAUAUAAUAAUAAUAAUAAUAAUAAUAAUAAUAAUAAUAAUAAUAAUAAUAAUAAUAAUAAUACUUCUUAUCUAUAGUUUUUAAAUUAUAUUUAUCUCAUCUUUUCACUAAAAAAAAUUGUAAUAAACAUGUUUUCUUAUCAACUCAUUCACAAAAAAAGAAGACAAAGAAUGCACAUUCUACCUAUGCAAAGUUAAGUAAAAACACUAAUAGUAUCGUACCUUGAACAAUAAAAGAAGUGGUUGAUUUUUAAAAAUUAGAGGGAGUGAAUGUCAUUUAAAUAGAUAUAGGAGAAGGUCAAUGUCACUUUCUUUGAUAAUUAUACUCUAUAUUUUUUAAAUAAAUAAUUAACUAAUUAAUAACAAUAUAUUGUUGAUAGUGUAAAAUAUUUGACACAAAUAUACUAUAAAAAUAUUUUAAACAAAUUAUAUUACAAUGUAGUUCUAAAGGAAUAACUUAAUAUUAUUUUUUUUUAGAUGUAAUAUAACUUAAUGUUGUCAUUCCUUAAAAAAAACUUAAGUUAAAUGAAAUUUCGAAAUUUCAAAAUGAAAUUUAAAAAACACAUGAAAAAGAAAAAAUGGAGAGAAUCCAUUUUGUAUUUCAUAACUUAAAAUUUUCAUUUUAAAAUUGUUUCUCACUUCUAAAUCUAAUAGAUUAAAUUUUAUAGAGUUAUCUUAUACUCCCACUCAAUCCAAAAAUGACCAUUUAGGUUGGGUAAAAAAAAUAUUUUCAAUGUACCAACACGUAAUAUAAUUAUUUUAUACAAAUAUCUAAUCUAACCAUAUUUUAGUACCAAAUAUUAGAUAUAUGAAAACACAAAAUUCACCAUGUCACAGUACAAUCAUAUAUAAACAAAUAUUUUAUAAUUUAAUCUUACAAUCACACCCUUACAAUUGCUUCAAAAAAAAAACCACACUCUAACAAGUUACAACAAUAUCAUAUAGUAAUUUUCCCACACCUACACAAACAUAAUAACUUCCACAUGAGUCCACCAUGAACAAAAUAUAUAACUUUCCUAUAUAGCACCAUGAACAACUAUCUAAUAACAACUAACAUGAUCACUUCACAGAAAUUUAUUAUCUGUAGAGAAAUUUAAUAAAGGUCACUUGUUCUUCAAUUGGAUUACUCCUGUUUUCUUCCUUCAUCCACAACUUGGCCAACUUGUUCCACUUCCUCAACAUAAUUUUUCUUCUUUGAUAAGUCUUCACUAAUUCCUACAACAACAAAAUAAGAAACAUAUCAAAUAUAGCACACAAACAUUUUACAAAUGCUACUAGAAAAAGAAUUACCUUGUUGUGAUUGAUUCUCUCCAGAUUUUGCAAACCAAGAGCCAACAACAUCCUUAACCUUGUCAACCACACCUUUUCCUGGACUAAUCACAUUGCUCUCUUCAAAGCUUCCAUUCUCUUUUUUCAAUGUCUCUUCUUUCCCUUUAUUACGUAAUAAAGCUUCUGAAAUCACCUCAGAAAGUGCCUUAUCUUCUUCACUAGGCCUUAGUUUCUCAACCAAAUUGUCCUUCACAGUAAACCCUUUUUCAUGAUCUUCUUGAACCUCAUUUUUUGUUUCAGUUCCAUACACUUUGGAUUUCACUGCACUUCCUACCUCUGCAACCUUUCCAUAAACAGGAGCUAGUUUCUCAGUAACAGAAUAAGCAAUGUUCUUUCCUUGUUCUGUAAUGGACCCUGACAUGUUAGAAGAAGCAUUCUCACUUUUUUGUUGCUCAAAUUUCUCAUCAUUACCUAGCUUAGAAGCUUCAUCAAUUUCAAUUUCAUCUGUGUAACUUUUGGGUUUUGAUUGUGUCUCCACUGCUGAUUCUUCAUAGCCUGAGGGAAUUUUCUGGUUUUUUCUAUUUAUAUCUGUGGAUGCUGGUUCAUGAGGAUAUUCAGUUUGAGUUUUUGUUGCAUUAGAGAAGUGUGGCACAAACUGAUCAUGGCUUCUAGCAGCAGCAGGAGAGUAUUCAGUGUCAGCAACAGAUGGUUGAAUUUUUGGUUCUGUGGUAGGUUUUGGCUCAUCAUGCACAUUCAAUCUCUCAAGAGAUUCCUCAAGUGGUGUAAUGUCUUUUAUUUCAUCAAUUCCUAUAAACCAACACACAUGAAAAUAUUAAUCUCAAUGCUAAAUAAAUUCUUAUGGUCACUCUAACAAGAAAAUGAAUGAGCCUAUUGUCUUGUAUUAUUUCCAUUCAAUUCAUUUUUUGACAGCACCAUUCGAUGAUUCAAUCUUUUUUAAUUUAACUAAACUUUUGAUUUAAUUCAUAUACAAUGUAGUAAUUUUUUUUAUAUUAUCAAUCAAUCAUAAUCGUCAAAUCAUAAUAACCUUUUGAAUUAAAUUAUUACUUUUAAAUUAUUACUUAUAUAUAUGAAUGAUAGUGAUUUGUUGAUAGUGUAAACACUAUAUUAAGUUAUUGAUUUUUCUAUUUUUGAUACAUAGCAAAGUUAGACACCAUAUUAAGUCACUAAUACUAAAACCAAGCACCACACCUUUAUGCCAAAAUUGCAGGUAUAACUUGACAAGAAGUUUUGAAAUAUGGUUGAGUAUAGUAAAAAAAUCAACACAACUAAGAACUCAUUUCAUCAAAUCAUAAGCAUUAAAUCUUUUAAAAUAGAACUAAUAUAUAUUGAUACAGAAUGCAGAGUCUGUAGCCAAACUUGAGUUCUGAGACUUGGUUGAAUCAACCAACUU
rnacentral:lncRNA from 1 species